rnacentral:rRNA from 1 species
AUUGAACGCUGGCGGCAUGCCUUACACAUGCAAGUCGAACGGCAGCACGGGUGCUUGCACCUGGUGGCGAGUGGCGAACGGGUGAGUAAUACAUCGGAACAUGUCCUGUAGUGGGGGAUAGCCCGGCGAAAGCCGGAUUAAUACCGCAUACGAUCCACGGAUGAAAGCGGGGGACCUUCGGGCCUCGCGCUAUAGGGUUGGCCGAUGGCUGAUUAGCUAGUUGGUGGGGUAAAGGCCUACCAAGGCGACGAUCAGUAGCUGGUCUGAGAGGACGACCAGCCACACUGGGACUGAGACACGGCCCAGACUCCUACGGGAGGCAGCAGUGGGGAAUUUUGGACAAUGGGCGAAAGCCUGAUCCAGCAAUGCCGCGUGUGUGAAGAAGGCCUUCGGGUUGUAAAGCACUUUUGGUCGGGAAGAAAUCCAUUGCUUUAAUACCGUCCGGGGAUGACGGUACCGGAAGAAUAAGCACCGGCUAACUUCGUG